GGCCCCGUAGCUCAAUUGAAUAGAGCAUCUCGAUACUAUCGGGGAGGUUUCAGUCCCGAUAGUUAUCGGGAUGAAUCCUGACGGGGUCACCA
rnacentral:tRNA from 1 species